UUGCCGUGAUGACUUUCACUGGGUUUUACAUGUUGCUGAGUUCCAAUGAUGCCAUUUUUUCUUGGUUGUCUGAGUUU
rfam:Loxodonta africana unplaced genomic scaffold scaffold_20, whole genome shotgun sequence.